rnacentral:rRNA from 1 species
AUGUUCCUACGGGGGGCAGCAGUGAGGAAUAUUGGUCAAUGGGCGGGAGCCUGAACCAGCCAAGCCGCGUGAGGGAAGAAGGUACAGCGUAUCGUAAACCUCUUUUGUCAGGGAACAAAGGCGGGGACUAGUCCCCGGAUGAGGGUACCUGAAGAAAAAGCAUCGGCUAACUCCGUGCCAGCAGCCGCGGUAAUACGGAGGAUGCGAGCGUUAUCCGGAUUUAUUGGGUUUAAAGGGUGCGUAGGCGGUCCGGAAAGUCAGCGGUAAAAGCCCGGGGCUCAACCCCGGCGAGCCGUUGAAACUGU